rnacentral:rRNA from 1 species
UACGUAGGGGCCUAGCGUUGUCCGGAUUUAUUGGGCGUAAAGAGCUCGUAGGCGGCUUGGUUAGUCAGGUGUGAAAUCUCCACGCUCAACGUGGAGGGGCCACCUGAUACUGCCAUGGCUUGAGUCCGGUAGGGGAGUGUGGAAUUCCUGGUGUAGCGGUGAAAUGCGUAGAUAUCGAGAGGAACACCUGCGGCGAAGGCGGGUUGCUGGGCUGACACUGACGCUGAGGCGCGAAAGCUAGGGGAGCGAACGGG